GGGGCGGGGCGCCGGAAGUGCGGCUCUCGGCCGGGGAGACUCGCGUCCGGCAGACCCUUCGGCGCUUGCGCCGCAUUUCGCUGUGGGAGCGCGUUGUGCAAGCUGCGUGUGCGCGCUCGGGCUGUGCGGGCUUUCGGGACGCCCGGCGCGGAGCCGGACUCCACCAGCAACCUAAAGGAGCCCCCUGGGAGCCCAGCCUGCCGGCACCUGCUGCUGUGAGACCUGGAAGGGCACUGAGGCACUGAAGAAUCCCGUGAGGUGGGCCUUACAUUUACUGGCUUUAUUGGAUCAUGUUUUGGAUCUCAGCACAUGGAAUAGACUGAUCCUAGCCCUUGCUCCCUUUUUCAGCACCACCGCUCAUUCUUGUCCCACUUUGGAUUAUUGCUUUGUUUGGUGGCCAACUCCUCCGCCAAGGGGAAUCCAGGGUUCCCAGGCUGGGAGACUUGCCUGGAUGAGGGACCUGAUGUCUAGCAGCAGAUCUCACCACAACUCAUCUCUGGCACACUGGCUCUAAGCAGGAAGGAUGUUCUUGUGGCAGAACUAAAACCCACGACUGAAAAUAAGUUGAAUCACGCUGAUGAAAUGUGGAAUGUGGAAUGUGAAGGGUCUCCCUUGAUUUCCAAGUUCACCGCUGUGAACAUUGCAUAUGCUGUCAACGCAGAAACACCUAGAAGGUGCACGGGCCGUGAAGAAGGGCACAGCGGGAGCAGGUGGAGGGACCUUUCUGGGCAUUUGCAUGGAGCGUGAGAUUGGUGCGGGGACACGGACUGUGCCAUGGGCAGGACAUGAGCUAACAGCCAGCACUGAGCCUCUGUGUGAGGUCAUUACCAGCAGGUGACCCUCUCCGUGCUGUGUGCUUGUGCAGCCGCCAUGUCCUCGGCUGGAACUUGGCAAACAUCACCUUCGAGUGUGUGGGCAAGGCCCAGCUGUGUGUGUGUUGGGCCAGCCCGGGGCACUGCGGGCUUCGGGGUGCAGCACCCCCCCAGCUGCCUCCUCGCCCCGCCGUGACCCUGCCUGAGCCCCAGAGCCAAGGGUGCUGGGGGAGAACGGCUGGUCUCUCUGGAUGUUUCUCCUGCAGGGAAACAAAAAGAAGGAAUAGAGAAGCGACUAGGGCCAGCCUUCACUGGCAAAGGUGGGAAACUGAGAUCCAGUGCACACGGCUGCCAGAGACAGAGGCACGUGCUUGCUGGGGAAUUAGCACUGCCGUCUGGUCCCCUGCCCACCAGCAUCGGUGGUUACUAAUCAGCCCCCUGGGACCUCUCCCUUUGAAUGAAGAUAUGUCGCACCCCAGCCAGGCGCUUGGGGGAUGGCAGAAGACUUCCGAGGGGAAGGUCAUGGACCAUCACCUCAGAGGCGUGUGUCACACAGACGGACCUAUGGUGGGUCAUUCUGUUACUGUCCCACGUGACGACCUUCCAUCAGCGCGGUCCAGGUGCUCUUCUGAGCUCUGUAGAGACAAUCCUCCCUCUGCUCGACAGCCUGGGACUCGGGCUGUGACUGUUCUCAGUGGAUGUGGGGAGACUGAGGCACAAAGACACUCGGUGACUUAUGCAGGGAGUCAGCCUUCAGGCCCCAGCCUGACCCCCACUGUGAGCUCAUCACCCCCCAGCACGCACCUGUCACACACAGACCAUGGCCUUCAGCCUGGAGGGCGAGUCUGAGGAGAAGCAGGGCCCACCAGGGCUGACUAUGCCCCUCCCCUCCCCACGUCCCUCACAGAUGUGUACUGGGCCCCUCCUGGGCCACGCCCUCUGCAUUUGGCCUCCAUGCAGAGACUCUGGGCCCCUACCCUCUUUCCCAGCUCCCAGGAAUCCCCAGGGACCAUUUCUGGUGUUGCAUGUCCCUCUUAGGUCUAGCCCUCCUCCCCUCUGCCCUGCCUGCUGGAGUGACCAAAGUGGGCUUUGGCCCCUCCUGACUGAUGGAGAAUCCCUUCUCCCAGGGCCCACAGGGGCCACUUUCCAGGGUCUUCCCUGAUGAUCAAGUACCAGAAAGCUCCAAGGAGCUGAGGGCUCACUUCUCAGCAGUGGGCCUGUGAUGGUCAGAGCCGGUCACUGUCCCGCUUCCUGUCCCCAUAGUGCUUUACGUAUGUACACAGUUGGGGAGCAGUGGGGCUCGGGGCUGGCCCCCUGGCCUGUGCCUACCUGCCACGGGGGUUGGGGGGGCCACUGUCAUUCUGGUAACCCUGGUCUCAGUGAAUGUCAGUGGAGAUGAUAAUGAGCCCAGCCCCGUCCCAGCCUCCCAGGGUUGGGGAAAGAUUGAUGCAAGUGGAAUGUGAGGCCGAGAGGAGGGUGCCCCCUGCCUAUCCCUCCCAUUGCUGUGGAUGGAACCCUGGCGAGCCUCUUUGCCUUUUCGUGCUGUGCCUCCAUUUCUUCUUCCGGGAAAAGGACAUAAUGAUGAAGCCCAUCCCCCAGUCAGCUUGGGGGCCCGCACUUUGCAAAGUCACUGGGGCAGAGCUGGAGCCUCGAGUUGGCAUGUGAUGGGGCUCCAUGGACACCCGGUGAAAGGAAGGGGGACACGAGCCUGUCACACUGCAUCAGCCCUGCGAGGUCUGCGACUGGAGGCAGCGGCUGCCAUCCCCGUCCCUCCCUGGAGCCAGCCUCCAGCUCGGUGGGCCUCUCAUACAUGCAGGCUGGGCUGGCCCGUGGCUACAGGGUUGCAGGCCAGAGGAAUCCCUGCCCCCACCAAGAAGUGACCACACCCCACUUCCCCUUAGAGUGUCUCAUCCCCAGAGGGGCCACCGCCUUCCACCCCAUCUCCCUCCCUCUACGGAUCAGAGCAGCCAGACCACCAUCUCCCUGGGGGGUCUUUUCUUCCUUCUCCAUCUAGACACAUUUCUCUCUGGCCUCCGGGUCACACUUCUGCCCCUGGCCUGAAUGCAUGUCCUGAGCAACCUCCCCACCAACUUGGCACCUUCCCCAUGACAACCGGAUAACGAUCUUUCUCCCUCAAGCUGUCCCCUCCAACCCCUUGUCAUUUGCUGGAAGGCAUUA